GACAGAGGUGCCGAGCGUUAGGCGGAAUCACUGGGCUUAAAGCGUGUGUAGGCGGGCCGUUAAGUGCCCCGUGAAAUCCCCCGGCUCAACCGGGGAACUGCGGGGCAUACUGGCGGCCUUGAGCCACUUAAGGGCAGACGGAACAAGCGGUGGAGCGGUGAAAUGCGUAGAUAUCGUUUGGAACGCCAAUGGUGAAAACAGACAGCUGGGAGUGUGCUGACGCUGAGACACGAAAGCCAGGGGAGCGAACGGG
rnacentral:rRNA from 1 species